ACUGAGGGUGCGAGCGUUAAUCGGAAUUACUGGGCGUAAAGGGAGUGUAGGCGGUUACUUAAGUCGGAUGUGAAAUCCCCGGGCUCAACCUGGGAAUUGCAUUCGAUACUGGGUAACUAGAGUUUGGUAGAGGUAAGUGGAAUUCCGGGUGUAGCGGUGAAAUGCGUAGAUAUCCGGAGGAACAUCAGUGGCGAAGGCGGCUUACUGGACCAAAACUGACGCUGAGGCUCGAAAGCGUGGGUAGCAAACAGG
rnacentral:rRNA from 1 species